rnacentral:rRNA from 1 species
GAGGAAUUCCUAGUAAGCGCAAGUCAUCAACUUGUGCUGAUUACGUCCCUGCAAAAUGUACACACCGCCCGUCGCUUUUACCGAUUGAGUGUCCAGGUGAGUCUUCUUGAUAGUUGCAAAAUUAAAAAUUAAACAAACCUUGGCACUUAGAGGAAAAAGAAGUCGUAACAAGGUUUCCGUAGGUGAACCUGCGGAAGGAUCAUUCAUAAUUUAUG